CUUGCAGGGAGUCAGGGUGCCCACAGAAAUUACUCGUACGCACGUGCAAAGGCACCAGUGAAGACGCCACGCUGGCACAGCUGUUCAACCGAAUGAUCAUUCGGUUGACGACGAUGGGGAGCGGGAUGAAGACACCUGUGGUGGCGUGACGAGCGUCGACCGACCAGCCUCUACUGAGCCUCUCUGCCUUCCAUCCACCAGUGCAGCGCCUGUUCCCGCAGCGCCCGUUCCCACGAAGAAUGCAUAUGCAGCGGCUGUCCCCGCAGCAGGAGGGGGUAGAUGCACCAACCCACCUGGAGGUGAACCGACGCACUCUCAAACCCCAUAAAGCUGCUCUGGGCGCGAAUGGAACUGCCACAUCUAAUAGCCACACACAAAAAAAGCCACGAGGAGAACUGAUUUCCAUGGUCGCCUGACAAAACCUUGCAAUGAUGGCACAUCCUCAAGUGCAUGCGCAUGGCGUCGGUGUCAACUUAUCACCGCAGUCGAUUGUGCGGAGAAAGUGCCUAGUAUUGUUGCUCGGCCACGUGGGAGACCACCCCGUCAUUUGCCCGAGAAGCACGUAGAGUGCGCGCCGAGCACCGAGGUCUUCGAAAAGGCGUGAGCGUAGAAAACGUCGCAAAUGGGGGUGGCCAAACUGUCAACUUGAGCCACAAACGAUCUGGCACGCGAGCGAGCGGCUCUGUGCUCUUCGCUUUCACGUGCCCACGCACGUGGCGGCGCGUUUUCGCAACCACUGUGAACGUCCGGAGGGGCAUGACUCGAUUACCUGACAAAAGGCGACCUGUCAACUGAUGCGGAAGGUGACAGUGUACCGGAAGAGGUCGCCAUCGAGAUGCCAUCGUUGCUAGGCCACGUGAGGUGACGGUGAUGUGUGUGCUUUCGGACGUGUUUGAUGCCCGAAGUAUUACGUGCAGUGUGGCUUCCCGCAUACAGCCUCCUCUAUUCUCCGCAGGAUUCGUAGACCUGGAGGCGGGGGGGGGGGGCUAUUCUGUGAAAGACCCCCCCCCCCCCUAUUGGACAUGGCUGGCUACAUUCACCAUCGCAGUCUAGCAAAGGGCAUGUUUCGAGGAACUGGCUAAGACACAACAAAGAGCGGGGCUGUAAGCCAUUGCUCCUGUGCAGCGUUAAUAGCUUUAAAAAUGGUAUAUUUUAAUUCGUUCCUCGUUUCGGUAUAAAAGAAAUAAUUAUUCUAUUAUUCGCAGGUACAACGCCAACAAAAAGCAGUCAACUUCAGCGUUGGAACGCGUGCCUAUUUGAUGAACUCCCUACCUUCCUGCGCUGUCAGUGUUGAGCAGAUAACCAUACGCAGAAAUUAGUCUGCAGUUCCCUCUUCAUUCGACUUUAGAAAGCGUUAUCUUCGUGGUUAGCUUUGGUGACCUGCGAAAUUAACGAAUUCUUUAUAUUUCAUUUCCACAGAAAUAUUUGUAGACAUUCUUCCAAUUUUAAUUGGAUUGAUUUGAAUUGAAUGUGCCAAACAACGAUUUGAUUAUCAGGCAAGCCAGGUCUUUAUUUAUUUAUUUACUUCACGUACCCUCAAGCGCCUAGGCAUUACAGAGGGGAGUGGGGUACAUGUGUAAAACAGCAUUGAUUGCAACAAAUUUAUAUAAUACAUGCGAGGUUUGCUGUGGACGUAAUCAUUAAAUAAUCAAACAACAAGAAUACUAUGAUAUUCAAAUUACAUAACUCUAGCGACACCUGAAAAAUACGGUGCAACAGCGCAUGUGGUCACGUGGUCUCAGUUGAAAAAAAAGCAAAGGUUUGGCGGAGAAGUGCACUGUCUUCGAUGGAUUCGACAUCAUCAGGAAGGUGGUUCCAGUCGGUCGGUGUAUUGGAAUAAAUGAGUAUAAAAACCUGUCUGUGUGAAAAAAAGUGGCUCUAGCUUUAUGACGGUGAUCAACUCGAGAUGACAGAUAAGUAGGUGCUAGAAUGAGCUCCCUGCUAAGAAUAAGAAGAUGAAAUACUUUAUGAAAAAGGUAUAAGCGAAAAGUCUUCCUGCGCAGUGAUAAACAUGGUAGACACAAGUUGCUCUUUAUAAAAGUUAUGCUAGGAGUACGAUCGAAGUUUGAGUGAAUAAAAUGAGCAGAAUUGUUCUGAACAAUUUUCAGAGGAUAAACCACAGUAGCAUUGUAAGGGUCCCAAAUCGCAGCAGCGUAUUCCAACUUAGAUCGAACUAUAUAGUGUUUCAUACAAUGCAAGUUUCAGGGAUGAAGGGGAUCUGCUAAAGUUUCGCCACGAUUAGCCUAACAUGCGAUUGCCGUUAUUGAUUGUGGAGUCAAUGUGACAUUUCCAAGAUGAGUCAUGUGAUAUAGUCACACAUAAAUAACGAUAGGAUGAAACAUGUUUACGCUAGACGUGGUUAAGCAUGUAUGCAGGUAAAGACACGUCGUGUCUAGUAACAGCAAUCAGCUUGAAUUUCUUGCUGGUUAGCUCCACGAGUUAGUUUACACCAAGCGGCGAUGGUAUUUAUAUCAGUCUGUCGAAUUUCCUGGUCCUUAUCAUCACGAAUCACACAAUAUAGUGCACAGUAAUCGGCGUGUUGGUGAACCGAAGAUGACGCGCAGUCGGGCAAAACCGAAGACCUUCUUCUGUCUUAAAUAAAAUACGAACGAAAGUCUUGUUCAAGUGCACAGAGCUGGGCGUGGGCUUGAGGUGACCUUUGUAGAUGUACGGCAAGCAGAAAAAUGAGAAUUAUUCUGGGUCUGCCACACGUUUGUAUUGACACAUGUACUUGUCUUUAUCGGGCGACACGUUUCACCACCUAACAAAUGUUAUCGCACAGCGCAGGACGCGCCUGCAUGUAUCGGAAGUUUCUGGAAUGUUAUCGAUGGUUCCAUCCGCUGUCUGCGACCGAACCUUGUAUAAUCUGAUUGCAUGAGUGCGCGACGCGAAUAAUGUACAACUUCGUGGAAUGCACGCGGGUCCCAGCGAUUACUCUCGAGCAUUCGACGACUGAUGUAUAAAAGCCGACGCGCUUGACCCGCUGAUCAGACUUUUCGACGAUCGCCCACUGUGUUCGCCGCUGUCGCCAUUCUUUGAGUGUAGCCUGUUUUUGAGGGCACAAGUUCGCCCCAUAAAACGCUAGUUUCUUCUUUCCCAGUCUGGCUGAUUUCGUCACCGUCACUGCCACGUGACAGUAGCAUUAGGCGAGAGCGUAUCACCGAGCAUGAAAGUCCACAAGGUGAUUUCUGAUUAGGUGUUUAAAUGCGCCAAUGCAGAAUGAUAUCUAAGCUUUUAUUGCGAUACUGCUGAAAAUGACGAGUUUAGAAAGUCACAAGGCUGUUUCAAACCAGAAAGAGAAAGUUAAAACAAAUCCGUGUACUUCCCAUAAUUCCCAUGCUGGCUGAGCCGCCCCUAAUAAAGCUCCCGUAGAUACUAGUGCCAGAGUUCUCUCUAGUAUUUAUUAUAUGAAACUCUUCGACACUCCAUUCUCUACCCGCGACUUCGCUACGCAUGAGCAUGCGUCCUGUCUCUCGGCGCCCUUGUAUGUGAGGCUCACCACCAACCUCCCUCAGCUGCCAACUACCGCCAACCUCGAACCCCAGCGAAAUAGGCGAAGUGUUUGCUUUAUUUCGAAAAAAAAAUUCCCAUAUUUCAGUUGAACAGACAACUGCGCGGCUGUUAUGCGGGUGCUGUACCACUACUCCCCAACCACAUUUUAUUGCCUGCUAACCGAUUUCUAAUUGGAUUACACUUUCAGAGCACUAUUUACCCUCUGACUUGAAAGGCACAGCGAGAGCGGGGAAAAUUCUUUUUUUCUCCCAAGAAAUUGCCAUAGCUAGACCUUCAAGACCAAUCCUCUUACCUGCAACGCACAGCGAUAGCAUGCAACUCUCUGCCAUCUCCCGAGAAAUUGCUCUGCACCCAGUGCUUGCGUGUUUUCAGUAGGCACCAUGGGUCUCCAGAAACGAAAAUCUUGGAAUUAUGACCAUGUGACGCUGGCACAGAAACGCUACGAGAAAAUUAUGGCCUCAAGUUUACAGGUCUCUGCGAUCUUCUAUAGAAUCGCUGCGCAUCGUCACAUAUGCACGCUAGUGGUGCUACCUCUCUCCUUUCCUCUGUCUCUUCCCCUGUUUAUCGCCUUCUUGGAGGAGAGGGCAGCAAACCGGACGUGUAUCUGUUUAACCUACCUUGCCAUACCCUUUCUUACAUAUAUAUAUUUCUCGCUCUUUUACGUGGUUCAUGGUCACACAGUAACUCGCGUCACAUUAGCUUACGCGAGUCGUCAUUGGAGCAAUUUAUUUAACUUGGUAAUGCAGACGUUUAAGUCACUCUGUGCACGCCCGUCUAGCAAAAAAAUUCACUCUGGGAAUCGGUUUAAACGAAGACUUCAUUGAUGUUUUCAUUGGGGUCUCAGUGUUGCUAGCCAUUGUAACCUGGCUUCGGUCUUGGCAAAGACAGUCACGUGGAUGCAUUUAUGCACGAUAAAGGGCAAUAUUAUUGUGUAUACGUACGAUAUAUUGAUGUAGCAGUACCAUAGUGUCGCAGGCAAGGGCUCCUUUCGGAGCUCGUCCGCAGUCGUAUGCUUACGUGUCCAAUGCAUCCCUGGUAGACUCCAAGCAACAAAAGUCUGCAGCUGUUUACUUUCCGAAUACUUUAAUAGCGGCAAACACACGGAACUAACUACGAAAAAAAAUGAGAGCACAAAACAGAAUCCUGUGCUUGGCGUUGUUGUUUCACUUGACUAUUAUCGUGCUGUAUAGAAUAAGAAGCUGGAGAGCGUACACCUAUUUUAAAUAAGGCGCAUGCGCGUAAAAAAACAUAUAUGAAGGGAUGGACGUAGAUGCUUUAUAACAGCCAACUAAUUACUCAUAGAUAAGUUUCAAGAUGCCUUGGGGGUUAGUAAUAGGAGAAUGUAGAACAUUGAACAGAAAUAACAACGAAGAUUCCGCUUCAAAGUGAGGAUAGACAAUUAAAGUACCACCCUGGCAUUUAGUGAAGCCAAAACAAUUUCAGGCUGAACAUUAAAUAAAGUGAGAAAAAAGGGCAUCAC